rnacentral:rRNA from 1 species
CAGCCGCCGCGGUAAUACAGAGGGUGCGAGCGUUAAUCGGAUUUACUGGGCGUAAAGCGUGUGUAGGUUGUUGUUCAAGUCAGUUGUGAAAUCCCUGGGCUCAACCUGGGAACUGCUUCUGAGACUGAACGACUAGAGUACGGUAGAGGGUGGUGGAAUUCCACGUGUAGCAGUGAAAUGCAUAGAUAUGACAUAGAACACCAAUUGCGAAGGCAGCUGGCUACACAACUAUUGACGCUGAGGCACGAAAGCGUGGGGAUCAAACAGGAUUAGAUACCCCCGUAGUCCCUGUCUCUUAUAC